rnacentral:rRNA from 1 species
UACGUAGGGGGCAAGCGUUGUCCGGAAUCAUUGGGCGUAAAGCGCGUGUAGGCGGCUCGAUAAGUCUGCUGUGAAAGUCCAGGGCUCAACCCUGGGAUGCCGGUGGAUACUGUCGAGCUCGAGUCCGCAAGAGGCGAGUGGAAUUCCUGGUGUAGCGGUGAAAUGCGCAGAUAUCAGGAGGAACACCAAUGGCGAAGGCAGCUCGCUGGGACGUGACUGACGCUGAGACGCGAAAGCGUGGGGAGCAAACAGG